AUACUUACCUGGCAGGGGAGAUACCAUGAUCAUGAAGGUGGUUUUCCCAGGGCGAGGCUUAUCCAUUGCCCUCCAGAUGUGCUGACCCCUGCGAUUUCCCCAAAUGCGGGAAACUUGGCUGUAUUAAA
rnacentral:snRNA from 1 species